ensembl:lncRNA novel transcript
GAUGUCCCUGACGGUGUAUAACUCCCGCUUCAGUUUUGAGCUUUCUUGGGGAAGAAAACACAUGCACAAAUCCUGGUGUAAGGAAUAUUUUAAGCAUAUAUCUUCAAUAUCAUUCAUCCAGGACCGAGCAAGACCAACACUCUUCCUCCUCCUCUGCCUACUCAAUGUGAAGACAAUGAGGAUGAACACCUUUAUGAUGCUCCACUUCCACUUAUUGAAUAGUGCUACACAUGAAACUUGUAACCAGUUACUACAGGCGAAAGCAAAUCCAUGUCUUCAGGCUGGUGUCAUCAGGGAGAGAAGCUUUGGUUUCCACAUAAGGAUAUAAGAUCAUUGAUGUAAAACAAAGUAAGCUUCUUGUCCUGGAACAUAUAUUCCUCUUUACAUUCUCAGCACCAGGCUGAAUCAACUUUAUACUUGACUCAAAGAGCAGACCUGUGCUCUAGGCCUGAAUAAUAUGAUUCUUUUCAGAAAUGAGUCUAUAACUCCAAAGUAGACUUCACCAGUGAAAAUCAAUCCUUGAGAUGAUUGCUACAGUUCUUAAAUAAGAAGCAUUCUUUUCUUUUGAACUCCAAACUGUAAGAAUGAUGUAAGCAGUACUUACACAAUAUAAAGAGAUCUUGCUCAAUAAUGAAAGAAAUAGAAGAGAGAGUAAGUGAAAAGCUGAAGUGGAAGAGAGAGAAAGAGAAAGAGAUGGAGAGACUUGAUGGUACCGAGCCCUUAGAACUCUCUCUGAAAUCUAACCCUAUUUUCUCAGGGUUACAUAGGCCAAUACAUUUCUUUUUUGUACUUGAGUUUGUUUGAAUUAGAUAUCUGUCACCCACAAGUGAGAGAGUGAUCAAAAUUUUCUAGUGGAAACUAAGAUCAAUUGUAAGCAUAUUAUUGGUAAAUUCGGGAAAAUUUGAAUGUAGACUGUAUUUGAUAAAAUUUUAUAUAAAUGUUCAUGUCCUAUGGUAUAAUAAUAAUAGUGAGGCUAUAUAAAACAAUAGCUUUGAGAAAUACAUUCUAAAAUAUUUAGAGGUUCAGCAUCAUAAAAUCUUCAACUUUUAAAAGGAUUAUCAAAAUAAAGUAUAUAUUUUUAUAUAGAGACAAAACGAACAUUUAAAACAUUUAAAAA